GUCGCCGUAAACAGCAUUCGUUUGUUAUUGUUUGUAGUGGAGUGCUGUUUUGUUAAUUAACAUUCAUUGGGUGAUUAUCCUGCUAAAACAGUAAAUUUUUUCCACUGCCAUCUGGUGGUAAAAAGUGGAAACUUGUCCACAAAAACGACGUCCGCCAUUUUGAAUCAUAGAUGCUGACGUCAGUGACGCUUGUCGUUUGCAGCUCCGUAUUUCUUCAUUGAAUCUGCUGACAUCCGUGUAGAAUAUGGCUAAAAAUGAAAAUCGAAGGCAGCGCCAUCUAGCGGGGAUAUGUGGAAGCUUGUCCACAAAAGCGACGUCCGCCAUUUUGAAUCAUAGAUUCUGACGUCAGUGUCGCUUGUCGUUUGGAGCUCCGUGUUUUUUUACUGCAUCCGCUGACAUCCAUGUAGAAUAUGGCUAAAAAUGGUUUUUAACAAAUUUGAAACCAGUGCCAUCUAGCGGCAGAAGGAUGAACUUUGUCCACAAAAGUCAGCGUCCGCCAUUUUGUUUUCUUGUCAUUGACACUUGUGUUUACGAUUCAGUGUUUUCUGCAGUAAAUCUCCUCACAUCUACUCCGUUUUCAUCAAAAAAAGACAAACAGCGAUUUGGAAAAAGUGCCUUCUUUGUGAGAAAUUCAAAGGGUUGUUGAGUGUGGUGUUUUUCCAAUCAAUUUUCGACCAAAAUUCCAUUGACCCAGGGUAAAAAAAGG